rnacentral:lncRNA from 1 species
GAUGUGGUCAUUCUCACCUCUGUUUCCCUUUCACAGUCUCAGUGGGCUGGGUCGCAACAUCAUCCUCACAACCAUGCCAGCGGGUGCUAAGCUCAUUGCUGGCAAUAAGCCAGUGAGUUUCCUCACCGCCCAGCAGUUGCAGCAGCUUCAGCAGCAAGGUCAGGCUACACAGGUACGCAUCCAGACUGUGCCAGCAUCCCAUCUGCAACAGGGCACAGCUUCCGGCUCCUCCAAAGCCGUGUCCACUGUUGUUGUGACCACAGCUCCAUCUCCUAAACAAGCACCUGAGCAGCAGUGACUGAGAAGAAAGGCGGCUUCUUUAAGAGACCAGGCCUGGUUUAUCUCGGCUGACAGAAAGGGAGCAGGGAGGCUGCACCAUUCUUCUGAGCUGUCCUGCUUGAGGCAGGGUGGUGGAGAGUGAUGGCAACUGUGGCCUAGAUUGUGCUGCCACACUCCAGAGUGAAGCCCUUUUUAGGGUUCCAGGGAUGAUCUGUUAUCCUGGACUACCAGGAAGAGGGAAGGAACAUCAGAGUCUGGGGAGGUCACAGUCACACAAGCCGGGGUUACCUCCUGAAUGUUGGGUUCCCAGGGAGCAGGCCUGCCAGUUGGUGAGUGGACCGGCAGGGAAUAAGCCUCAUUCUGUGUGAGGAUUUUACUUUUUAGUUUCUGAUCUUCUCCGUGACUUGUUGAGAUGUGAGUUUUGUGUCCAGAGAAUUUUUGUGUAACUUAUUUUUUUAAAGAACCUACUCUACGUCUUUUAUCAAAUAGAAACCUGGGCUUCAGUGCCCCUAAACUGAUCACUUACCCCUUCAACCAGAAUGAGAGCAUAGCAAGACUCUUAAUAGUUUGGCGGCUUACUUGAUAAUGGAGAGGUUAUAUAGUAAGAAAAUGUAGGCCUUGAGUUAGCAUGGACCCCCUCAAGUGGGACUAGUUCAAUGCCGUGUACUAAAUAUGGGCAUCUGAAUCUCGGUUGUCCCUAUGUCUUCUCUUGUGGGCAUUGUCCUUGACAAGCCUGUUCAUGGAAGUUCAGAGCUUUUGGACAGGAGUAGGGGAAGAUGAGGUGCUGCUCUCACCGUGCACUUGCUUACAGCCCAGACAUUGCACAUUCUCCUUGCUGUAGAACAGCCAUUGCUAACCAGACCCUUGGAGCUGGCCACUUGACUGGGACAGAGAAGAAAUGGGGAGGUGGGGGCAGGGGUAGGCACUGCCUGGCAGUGCCAUCUUGAGGGGAAAGGAUGUUUUUAUUCUGGCCAUUUCAUAUUUCUCAGCCACCACCAGCCACAGACAGGGCUCAGAAGGGUACUUUACAAAGUCCAAGUACUUAAUGUACUAGGUGUAUCUUAACGUGUCUUGCUGUGGUGCAGGGGUGGGUAGGAAAACCUUUCUGCAGGGAUAGUGCUUCCCUGUCUCUUUGUGAAAAUAUCCAAAUUAUUAAAAACAUAUCUUU